AUACGGAGGAUCCGAGCGUUAUCCGGAUUUAUUGGGUUUAAAGGGUGCGCAGGCGGCCAUUUAAGUCAGCGGUUAAAUCGCGGGGCUCAACCCCAUUCUGCCGUUGAUACUGGGUGGCUUGAUUGCGGUCGAGGUUGGCGGAAUUCGCUGUGUAGCGGUGAAAUGCAUAGAUAUGACGAAGAACACCGAUUGCGUAGGCAGCUGACCAGACCGCAAAUGACGCUCAUGCACGAAAGUGCGGGGAUCGAACAGGAUUAGAUACCCUGGUAGUCCGCACAGUAAACGAUGAAUACUUGUUUUCGGCGAUAUAAUGUCGGAGGCAAAGCGAAAGCGAUAAGUAUUCCACCUGGGGAGUACGCCGGCAACGGUGAAACUCAAAUGAAUUGGCGGGG
rnacentral:rRNA from 1 species